AACGAACGCUGGCGGCAGGCCUAACAUAUGCAAGUCGAACGCCGUAGCAAUACGGAGUGGCAGACGGGUGAGUAACGCGUGGGAACCUUCCCUAUGGUUCGGAAUAGCUCAGGGAAACCUGGGGUAAUACCGGAUAAGCCCUUCGGGGGAAAGAUUUAUCGCCAUUGGAUGGGCCCGCGUAGGAUUAGCUAGUUGGUGAGGUAACGGCUCACCAAGGCGACGAUCCUUAGCUGGUCUGAGAGGAUGAUCAGCCACACUGGGACUGAGACACGGCCCAGACUCCUACGGGAGGCAGCAGUGGGGAAUAUUGGACAAUGGGCGAAAGCCUGAUCCAGCCAUGCCGCGUGAGUGACGAAGGCCUUAGGGUUGUAAAGCUCUUUUGGCGGGGAAGAUAAUGACGGUACCCGCAGAAUAAGCUCCGGCUAACUUCGUGCCAGCCGCCGCGGUAAGAC
rnacentral:rRNA from 1 species